rnacentral:rRNA from 1 species
GACGAACGCUGGCGGCGUGCUUAACACAUGCAAGUCGAACGAAGUGGCGAACGGGUGAGUAACGCGUAAUCAACCUGCCCUUCAGGGGGGGACAACAGUUGGAAACGACUGCUAAUACCGCAUACUGAAGGAGGGGAUUGCGGCUGAUUGGCUAGUUGGAGGGGUAACGGCCCACACAGGCGAUGAUCAGUAGCCGGUCCGGAGGGAGGGACGGGCACAUGUGGACUUGGAAACGGCCCCGACUCCUUAGGGGGGCAGCCAGGGGGGAUCUUCCGCAAUGGACGGAAGGCUGACGGAGCCACGCCGGGUGAGUGAUGACGGCCUUCGGGUUGUAAAGCUCUGUUAAUCGGGAAGCGGUACCGGAAUAGAAAGCCACGGCUAACUACGUGCCAGCCGCCGCGGUAAUUC